rnacentral:lncRNA from 1 species
AUGAGUGGUACAAACGGUCGCGUGACGCGUGAUGCAUCAAACAUUAAAAUGAGACAAGAAGAGCAGACACCGAUGAGAGACGGAAUGAAAAUGACAUCAAUGAAGGAAAUGUUUGCAACCGGAAGCGACGCUAGCCUUGUUGAUGACGCCGGUUACAGCUUAAGGCCACAUGAUGCACGCUUCACCGGAAACGAUGUCAGGCUGACUGAAAGCAGUGCUAGCCUUACUGCGAGUAGCAACAUCCGCAUCGGUGAAACUACGAACAUUAACGGAAAUGACGGCGGCUUCAUCGGAAGAAGUGUAACCCAUGCUGAAAAUGCAGCUAGCUCCACCGGAAAUAGUGUAAGCUUUACCGGAAAUAUUGAAGGUCUAAUCGAAAGUACCACCAUUCACACUGAAGGUGAACCCAGCUAUACCUAUACUGGUUCGAACCUUUCCGGAGGCGACGCCAGCUUCACUAGAAAUGGCGGCAGCUCCAUCGGGAAUGGCCUCAGCCUUUCCGAAUAUAGUGCUAAUUCCAUCAGGAGCGAUACCGCUUUCGCUCGGAACGGCCACAACUCUGCUGGAAAUGCCCAUAAUCCCAGUCUUACCGGAAAUGACCCCAGUCUUACCGGAAAUGACCCCAGCCAUACCGGAAAUGGCCCUAGUCUUUCCAGAGAUGACCCCAAUUUUCCAAGAAAUAGUGCCAGUCUUCCAAGAAACGGUCCUGGCUUCGCCCGAAGUGAUUCCAAGCACACCGGAAACGCCAAACGGCGGAACAGGAAACGGCCUCAUAACAAAAGUGCCACAGGCGGAAACACUCUCGAUCCAGAGAAGGCGUCUCUCCGCCGGAAACCGGUCGGCGAAGUGAGGUUCAUCAAGCUGAUCGAGAUCUGCUACGACCUGGAGCGGCACCGGGCGGUGUACGCGAGCCAUGAGCUGGACGAGCGGAUCCGCGGACGACAGCACAGCGUCCCGCGGAUCAACUUCAAGACGGACAUCUUCGACGAGGAGCACAUCGACGUGAACGCCCUGUACACGCGAAGGGGCAGCUGGCGCGGCUGA